rnacentral:lncRNA from 1 species
AUCAAGGGCUGGGCCUAGAGAUGGGCAGGAACCAGGGAGGGUCUAGAAGCUCAGGAGCAGGCAAUUCAGUUCUACUCACCAUGGCUCCCUGACAACUAUUCCUGGGGUCCUUGUGUUCAAAGUUCCAGAAGAGCUUGUCAGAUUGGUUGAGCUUAGAUCACAUGUGUACUCUUAGGGCUAGGAGAGGAAGAAUCUGCUCUCUUCAAGAGCUUCCAUGGUGGGGAGCGGGCAGCUGGAUUUAUACUCCACUAAGCCUGCAUACAUGGGGAGAACGUAAUUCCCUAAAAAAAUCAGAUGACAUCAGGAAGGGGAAUGGAUGUUGAAUAGCCAAAGAAAUGCCACAUGUUCACUGCAGCCCUGCCUUCAACAGCAUUACCUUCACACUAUGAUGUUAACAAUAAUGGAAGAGAUGAAAGAAAACUGGCAGGAGCCUAUAGGGAAAGUGCCUCGGUGGAAUUCCUGUGACCUACACUAUGGACGGAGCAGACUUCAUUAUUCACAACAGGCUGGAAGUCCAGUUACCAGCAGUGUGUCCACGUCUGAAGCCAGACAGAAACUUGUUCAGCCAGUUUCCUUCUUUCACGAGGCUGUUCCAAAACUGACACAUGCAGACUGAGAAAAACACUGAGAGUUUCUGUGUUCCCAGGAAUGAGUCCCACCAGAACAGGUCUCGGUCUGUUGCUAAACUGUGAUUCUCGUUUCUUCUCCUCACUCUGCCUCUCCCCUCCCCACCGCCACCUCCUUUUGCUACAAAGCUACGGACCAUCAAGUUUUAAUGCCG